UAAAAUCGGAUGAUAUUUCUUAUGCUGAUUAGUAAGCAAACGAAAUAGGAUUUCGUAGUAUUUUUCAAAUUGGUUCCGGGAGUAGAAGCAGCACAAGAUUUUUCGUCGGAUAAUUCUAUAUAUUUCAGACAAAUUUCCUGUUGCACUUCUACAUUUCGAAAAAGAUUUAUUUUGUCUUUCAUCUCAGAUGCUUGGAACAGAAACCGUUCAUCGACAGGGCACUGAAAAGUUACCGGGAUCGGAGCCGAUUCAAAGCCCUUAUUCAACUUCCCGGCUGUACGACCAACAGCUAAAGCUCAACUGGCUGGUUCGAUAACUUUAAUAGGAGGAUUACCCGGUCCAGAGGUGCUACUGAAGGUAUGGAUCGGCUGUGAUGUAAGUUAAAAUAUAAGGUCAAAUUAAAACUUAACUUCCAAAUUACUUGUUUUUCAACUCUAUACAUGGAUUAAUCAGCCUAUUUAGUAUGCUUGAAUUAAAAUAAUCGCUCUACUAAUCUGCAUAUUUAGUCUGAUUUAAUUGGAUUUAGAAUAUGAUCCACCGAUUUCUCAACCUAUUUCGUAUGGUUCAGGCAAUUUCAUCACCAGACUAAUCUACCUGUUUCGUCUGAUUUCGUAUAUGGGCUCGAACAAAAUCACCCUAAAAUGACUCGAUUUGGUUGGUUUUCGUCGACCGAUUUCGUAUACUGAUCAAUCGGUAAACCCCCCUGUUAAACUGUUGCAACAAUCAGUUGAUUCGUCGGAAUCGAAAUCGGGCAAUUGUGCCUACGAGAACGUAUUGUGCGUUGCAAGAAAUCUUUUCAUUAUGCGGAAUUUGCGAAAUGAACAAAGCUUCCGUUCCUGAGAAACGGUCUAGGAAUCGAUACUGUUUUCAGAAGGUAUCGAUACAGCUGGGAUGUUGAUCAAUUACAACGUACGCAGCGCUGACCGGAAGAGUGUAUCAGCGAAAGUUCACGUCUUGGGAAAAAAGCCCUAAAAAGACACAACGUACAGCACCACUGAGCAUAUAAUUAAAAUUUUGAAAUGGAAGAAGGUUAUAAUUCUAUCUCGAGUGAAGAACAAGGUACAUACGAAGUUGAGUUUCUAGAUUCCCAUUAUUCUUGUUCUGAAUCAUCCGGAGAGACAGAAAUGCACAUACAGAGUACCAUAAGUAAUUCACCAACAUUAAUUUCUGCAUCGAACCGAGAUGAUGAGAGGCGAUCUACAAAGAAAUUACCGACGGCUGGUGAUGAAUAUAGUUCAUUGGAUGAUCUAGAACCAGCAGGAAAUAGUAGCGAAGAGAAAUUGUUUAGUUUUCAUGCGGAUAUACUGGAGAAAAAGUUUAAAGGGCAGAAAUCGUUUGAAAAGCGUGGAACUGUAAAAGUUACAGAUGAUUCUGUUUAAGGAGUGCUCAACAGAAUAUGGGAAUACUGCGCACAAUUUAUCACGAAGGCUGUUAUUUUCAAGGACUUUGAUCCUAAAGGACAUUCAACGAAUUUGGAGGCCACUUGGGAUAAUGAAGAUCCAUCGUUUGAAUCAAAAGAUAAAUUCUUAAUUUUUCAGGACAAAUCAGGGAAACGAAAUACAGCCCCAUCAGAUGUGACAUCUGAUACGUUACAGGGAUGGCUAUCAAUAACCAUUACGGUUGUUGUUUAUCGCUAUUCAGAUUUUGUGUCAACUGCGCAUAAGUACCAUGCUGUCGAAAGUCAGUUGCUGCGACCUGCUGAAAAGAUCAAGCAGGAGCUGAGCCAAAUGUGUCAUUACAUAAGUUAAAGGAAACUCUCAAAGUUUCACAUGGAAAUCACUUGACGUCAGACGAUAUAAACUGGUCUUGUUGGGCGAACUACGUAAGUACCCAACCAACAACAAUGCGUGAAGAACUCAUAAACCAACUGCCACCGAAACAUCUCAUUGCCCUUUUUCGACCUGUGCCAAUACACUCGGAUACCGUUCUUCUCAGGACGAAAUUUGAUCUUAGUGUAGCAGAGAAUGAAAACAAAGCCUACUCGCGAAUCGUGGGUUAGCUUAAACAAGAUUGUGAUAAUUUACGCACCUUAGUUGCAGUCAUGGGAAGAAGAAUUCUAGUAAUGGAGCAGCUUUUACAUAACCACUGCGAUAUGAUCACUGCUAUGAGAAAUACAGUU